CAACACAAUAGCAACAACGAAAACAAUCAAUAGCAACAACAACAACGCAACAGCAACAAUAGCAACAACGACAAUAACAACAACAACUUUCCACACACACCGCGAAUUUUAAAGUACUCCCACGAAAACACAUGUGAAACAAGUCGUACUAAAAUGCUUUAUUUACAACUCAUUACAAUACAAAGCUUUGUGCGUAUUAGUACAAGGCACAGUAUAUCAAAUAUACAAAACAACCGAGUGUUAUAAAUGGCCUUAAUGUUUGCUGACGUUUCUAUAGACAUUAAUAUCACUGAUAUAAAGCGGUCAAUAUUUUAAACAACCCGGCACUCAGAUGGCUCAAUUUAUCUCAAUAAACUCGAACUAUCUCAUCCAUGGAGGGCUCGGGGUGGGAAUAAAUGAUCCCGGGUGCAUUGAUAAAAAUCACGCCGAAUGUAAGAAACGCUGCGAUGAUAUAAAUAAUCAUAAAAAGCUGAUUCAAAAUUUCGGCGGCCAGUUGCCAUUCUUCCUGAAUUUUUCCAAGUUCUUCCUCCUCUGUGAUUUGCGCCGCCAUCAGAGCCAGUCCUCUCAGCUUGUCUUGUGCUGGGUCAUAUUUCUCCACUUUCUCGUUUCGACCUUCUUCUGUGACUGUGUCUGAAAAUGUCGUGAUAUGGUGGUCAGUGCAUGUAGUGAUACCUGCUCAGUCGUUCAUCUCUGUGACCAGGGAUUGGUAGCGAACUGAUCGAGGUAUGCGUCCUGAUUAGAAUUUUAAAAUCUCCUGGUAGUCUGGUUUUCUGCGGUAAUAACACUGGAUCAAUAAAAGAUGAUCCUUA